rnacentral:rRNA from 1 species
UACGAGGGGGGCGAGCGUUGUCCGGAAUUAUUGGGCGUAAAGAGCGUGUAGGCGGCCAGGUAGGUCUGCUGUGAAAACUCGAGGCUCAACCUCGAGACGUCGGCGGAAACCAUCUGGUUAGAGUCCGGAAGAGGAGAGUGGAAUUCCUGGUGUAGCGGUGAAAUGCGCAGAUAUCAGGAAGAACACCCGUGGCGAAGGCGGCUCUCUGGGACGGUACUGACGCUGAGACGCGAAAGCGUGGGGAGCGAACAGG